UUGCUGUGAUGAUUUCCAUUGGGUUUCGCAUGUCGCUGACUAUCAGUGAUGCCUCUUCUCUUGGCUGUCUGAGCAA